rnacentral:rRNA from 1 species
UACGUAGGGGGCUAGCGUUGUCCGGAUUUAUUGGGCGUAAAGAGCGUGUAGGCGGCCAGGUAGGUCUGGUGUGAAAACUCGAGGCUUAACCUCGAGAUGUCAUCGGAAACCAUUUGGCUAGAGUCCGGAAGAGGAGAGUGGAAUUCCCUGGUGUAGCGGUGAAAUGCGCAGAUAUCAGGAAGAACACCAAUGGCGAAAGCAGCUCUCUGGGACGGUACUGACGCUGAGACGCGAAAGCGUGGGGAGCGAACAGG